UACGUAGGGUGCGAGCGUUGCCCGGAUUUAUUGGGCGUAAAGGGCGCGUAGGCGGCUACGCACGUCCGUUGUGAAAUCGCUCGGCUCAACUGGGCGGGGUCAGCGGAUACGGCGUAGCUGGAGCAAGCUAGGGGGCAAUGGAAUUCCCGGUGUAGUGGUGGAAUGCGUAGAUAUCGGGAGGAACACCAGUGGCGAAGGCGGUUGCCUGGAGCUUUGCUGACGCUGAUGCGCGAAAGCGUGGGGAGCGAGCCGG
rnacentral:rRNA from 1 species